UCCCGCCUCACUGCCAUUCGUAGAAAAUGGCGACUGUAUGUGUUUUAUUGUCACCUGAAAUUCUACGUUCAUGGGAUAAAUCAGGGCGUUCAGAAUUCCUAAAGCAGUGCAGGUUAUUAGGAGAUGAUGAAAUAUCUAUGAAAGAGUUACCAAAGAAAACAAUUAAAAGAGCUUUUUAUGAAGUUUGUUAUGCAGUCAAUCAUAAUCAACUCAAGAUUGAGAAUGCAGUAUCUGUAUUUUCUGAACUCAAGGAAACAUUUCCAUGGCUACCAUCUACACUUGCUGAUGUACUGGGAAUAGUGGAUGUUGAAACUGCUUGCUCUGAUGAAUUGACAAGAGAGAAAUUUAUCACACUAGUUGGGGCAUUACGAAACACUAUUAUAGCUGAUGGCCUUUUAAAAGAAAGAUUAGACCAAGACUCCUUAGAGUUGGUUGGUUUAGUCAGUUCUCAAGUUGGAUUUAAUCAGAAAUAUGUGAAGACCAAAACUCGACUUUAUUACAAGCAGCAGAAGUUUAAUUUGUUAAGAGAAGAAAGUGAAGGCUACUCAAAAUUAAUCACUGAAUUAAAUCCAGAUUUCAAUCUCAAGAUUUCCUGGGAACAAGUGCUGCAGAAUAUUCAAUCAUUGAUUGGUUGUUUUGAUCUUGAUCCUAACCGCGUGUUAGACAUUAUCCUUGAAGCUUUUGAAUGCCAUCCUGAAGAGAGCCCCUUCUAUGUUCCACUCCUGCGCGCAUACAUUAUAGACAAGUUGACUUUGUGCCAUAUUCUAGGAUUUAAAUUUCACUUCAGAGAGUCUGCUGACUGGAGCACUCCCAAAUCAUUGUUCACAUGUGCAGCACUUUUAUUAAAGAAUGAGCUGGUAGAUCUAGAUGACUUGUAUCCUUAUUUAUUACCAGCAGACUCUGAAAUAAUUCCAUUUCAUAACAAAGAAGUCUCAGAUGCCAAAGCCUAUGCUAAAAAGCUGAGUACUGUGAUAUUGGCUGAUAAAAAAGAGGAUGAAAAGAAAGAAGACGAACAACAGAUUAUUGAUUUGAGAGAAAACAAUCAAAAACUUGGUCUGUGUGAAGCUUUGCUAGAAAUAGGAGCCUGGGAGAAUGCUAGGGCCAUCAUUGACAGGCUGCCUGAAAACUUUGCUUUGGUUCAUCCAUCCAUCUCCUAUGCCCUGUGCUCAUUAGUACAUAGAGUGAUAGAACCUCUAUAUGAAAAGAACAUAGGGUUAGCAUCUGUGUUAGCCAAGCGGAGAGUUAAGAAAGUAGAAUCCUGUGAUUGUCCUCUAGCCUACACCUAUCACCAGCUCUAUCACUUAGCCAUGCCAAUGUUGUAUUACCUUGGUCCAUAUGCUUCUCGGGAUCCUAUUUUGAUGGUGAAAAUAAUGAGAUUGGCUAAAGCCUUCAUGUCAAAGCGUCACUCAGGUGGCAUUGGUCCAGAGGAUGAAAUUGCUUACUAUGGGUUUUUAAAUGCUCUUGAAGAAGUCCUGCUACCAUCUCUUUCCCUCCUGCAUGGUAAUUGCUCAAUGGCUGAAGAAUUGUGGAGUCUACUGAAGCUCUAUCCAUAUGAGAUAAGAUAUCGUCUCUAUGGGACAUGGAAAAAUGAGAGUUAUUUCUUGUAUCCAAUACUUAUCCGUACAAGAGCAGAUUGUCUGGAUAGAGCCAAAUACAUCAUGAAGCGUCUUUCUAAAGAGACAGUGAAACCCUCUGGUCGACAGUUAGGCAAGUUGAGUCAUAGUAAUCCUGGCAUUGUAUUUGAAUAUAUUUUGAACCAGAUCCAGCGGUAUGAUAACUUGAUUGGUCCAGUUGUUGACUCCCUCAAGUACCUGACAACUAUUUCUUAUGACAUGUUAACAUUUUGCAUCAUUGAAGCCAUUGCUAAUCCAGAGAAAGACAGGAUGAAAACAGAUAACAUGAAUAUCUCACUCUGGCUCCAAAGUCUUGCCAACUUUGCUGGAGCUAUUUGUCGUAAAUACCAAGUAGAGUUGACAGGUAUCUUGCAGUAUGUGGCCAAUCAGCUUAAAGCAGGCAAAAGCAUUGAUCUACUGCUCUUGAGAGAGGUGGUGCAAAAAAUGGCUGGGGUGGAAAUCUCUGAAGAAGUCACAGAUGAUCAGUUGGAAGCAAUGGCUGGUGGAGAGCUGGUCAGACAAGAGGGCAGCAACUUUUCUCAAAUUCGGAACACAAAAAAAUCUUCUACUCGCUUAAAAGACACAUUGCUAGAGCACGACCUUGCCUUAUCCUUGUGCUUGUUGAUGUCUCAGCAGAGAGACAGCACUGUAUUUGCUGAAGAUGUCAACAAACAUUUAAAACUAGUUGGUAAACUCUAUGACCAGUGUCAAGAUACUCUAGUCCAGUUUGGCAGUUUCCUCUCCAUGCAACUCAGUACAGAAGAGUUUGUGAAAAGAUUACCUCCCAUUGAUGUCUUGUUAUCAACCUACCAUAUCCCUCAUUCAGCUGCCUUCUUUCUCUCCAGACUUCUCUAUGCACAUGCAAUCAAUGUCAAAUAUGACGAACUGAAAAAGUUGGAGAAGGAUAAAAAGAAUCAUAAGACCAUUUGCUACAUUAAUGCUUCCAAAGAGGUUAUGGGACCAGUGGUUGAAGCCAUCAAGCCAGUGUUUUCAUCUAAAAUUUGGGAUGACCUGACGCCACAGUUCUACAUCACUUUCUGGUCACUGUCCAUGUAUGACUUGUAUGUUCCUAAAGGUGCUUAUGAGAAACAGAUCUUGCUGCAGGAAAAUCAAAUCAGUACAGUGGAAGCUAACAAAGACAUGCCUGCUAGCAAGAAACGUAAAGAGCAAGAAAGAUGCAAGAUCUUAAUUGACAGAUUGAAAGAUGAAGCUAGGAGGCAGGUGGAGCAUGUCCAGAGAGUGAUGGAGAGACUAGAAGAGGAGAAACAUUCUUGGUUUCCCACAGGGACUCUCAAGUCUGAGAUGACCACCAAUCUACUUCAGUAUUGCUUGUUUCCACGCUGUUGUUUCACUGCCAGUGAUGCCAUAUACUGUGGUCAUUUUAUACAAGUUCUUCAUAAUUUAAAAACACCAAAUUUUUCCACUCUUAUUACUUAUGAUAGGGUCUUCAAUGACAUUACUUACACAGUGACUAGCUGUACUGAGAAUGAGGCUCGACGUUAUGGCAGAUUUCUGUGCAGUGCUUUAGAGACUGUCAUGAGGUGGCACAGCAGCCCAGCCAUCUAUGAAAAGGAGUGCUUCAACUUUCCAGGUUUUCUAACAGUCUUCCGUAAAGGAACUGAUAUGAAUAACAAGAUGGACAGACUUGAUUAUGAGAAUUACAGACAUGUUUGUCAUAAAUGGCAUUUUAGGCUAACCAAGUCUGUGAUUACAUGUUUGGAGUCCAAGAACUACAGUCAGAUGAGAAAUUCUUUGAUUGUUUUGACCAAAAUUUUGCCUCACUUCCCAAGAAUGACCCAGAUUGGAAUGGCCAUAGAAAGACGGGUGGAUAAACUGAGUAAAGAGGAGAAGGAUAAAAGACCAGAUAUUUAUGCAUUAGCUAUAGGGUAUGCUGGACAGUUAAAGAGCAAGAAACCAACGUGGGUACAAGAAACGGAAUUCCAUAUUAAAGAACCAAAGAAAACCAACAAUACAGCAGCACAGAAUCAGACACAACAGCAACGGCAGUCAGACAGCUCAUCAGGAAUCAGUACUAAGAGAGACGUUGAUGGACGCUCCAAAGAUGUCAAACCUGACCUCAGUUCACGAGAAGAGAAGAGAGCUACAGAAAGUGAAAGAGAGAAGAGAGCAGCAGAGAAAAAAGAAGCCAGAGAAAAGAAGGAAGCUAAAGUCAGAUCAAGCAAUGCACCAGAAAACAAUGGAAACUUAGUAAAGAAAGAAGCUCGCGACAGUCCUGACCAACACCACAGGCAGGCAGGCACAGAUCAGGCUGAGGACUCAGUUAGGCCCAAAACGCCCAAGGAGGAGAAAUUGAAGAAGAGUGACCGCAAAGACAGGGAAGCAACCAAGCUGGCCAAAGAGAAAGCCAAAGAAGAGAAGCGUGAGAGGAAAGAACGUGAAGCCUUCGCCAAGGAGGAAGAGAGACAUUCAUCCAGGGUGAAAGACUACGAAGGGAGCAGUGCAAGCCACAACUUGAGCUCAUCCUCCCACAGACAUAGUGCUGAGCCAUCACCCAAACAUUUGGAGGAAAGAGAUCCUAAACGAAGGCGUCUGGAAACGAGUGGGUCAUCUCAGGUUAGUAUACAAGUGUAGUGGAAGGUUUUUGUCCUGAGACGAGUGCUCCCAGACAAGCUAACCACAAUAUGGUUUAAGGAGUAUCCUCUCCGUCAAGUGUUAAAGCGUCAAAAGAUAACCCAAAGUCUAAUGUGAAUAAAACAAAGAUCAAAUGAAAAGUGUUCAAAGCAGAGAUCAAAUCAAUAAGGAAAUCAAUGUGGAAAUGGAAGUAGAAGGUGAAACAAGGAGAGGAUUAACACAAGAGAGCUUGAAUAAACAAGAGAAAUGGAGGCAGUAAGAUCCAAAAAUGCUGGGGCCAGAUGACAAGAGACGAAGGCACAAAAUGGAUGAUACUGAUACAUCGCGGCUUGAGAAAAAGGUGAAUCCCAGACAUAGAGAGCACAGUGACAAGGGAAAUGAAAAUGUCUUAUGUUAAAAACAAAGAGCUUGAUCACUUUGAAACCCUUCCUUCAAAACAAUAAUGCCUAACAUUGAUAAGCAGCUUGCAUAGAGAGAGCCAAAUCUUGGAUGGAUAACUUAUUUUUUCAUGUAUAUUGCAAGUGGUCUGGUUCGAAACCAACUAACCUCACUCUGCCUACGACUGCCUAUUGCCUCAUGUAAUAUUGUUGCCAAAGAAACCAAUGGAACAGAGGAAGAAAUUAACCUUUCAAGAUGUCAAAAGCCUGAUCUGUUUGAUAAGCAUCCUGUUCUUGAGGAGAUAGAGGGGUAGUGGACAAAAAUCUUUCUGUGAAGAGAGGAACUUGGUCUUAUGAAACCUGCUGCUCAUCAGUUUGUGUACAAGAGAAUCAAGAAGGGGCUGUCUGCCUUUGGUUUACCAAUACUUGAAGUUAAAAGUCAAAGAAGCAUUUGAUGAAAGAUACUGACACUGGCCGAUGACUGAAAUAUAGACGCCUUGAAAGUUGAUAGUAGGGAAGAUAAUCAAUGAUCUCUUCUUGCUGCUGUUAAUACCACCUGCAAGCCAUUCAACUAUCAGAGUCCUGAUAUCAAAAGAAAGUCAUUAUUUGAGCAAAGUUAUAAAAUGUUGCUGCCUGAACGAAGCAGUGCUGUCUUCCCACCUGGUCAGAAGUCUCAAGUGAAGUUGGUGUCUUCAGCAUGUUGAGUGACUGCCAGCUACGUUGAUGUACUGCUGUGAUACAAGAGUUAAUCCAUCUUCUGCAGCUGUCUGAAACAACUUAAGAACAAGGAGUCGCCAGUGGAUGGACGAAGCAAGCACAGAAAGAGUCCCACAAGUCAAGAAGCUGAUGAGUCUUUUGAAAUGGAAAAAGAUCGUAAAGAUAAAAAGAGGGAACACUCUGUUGAAACCUAUGACCCAGAACUUUCCAAAAGAAGAAAAAGUGAGGAUCAUUAUCUAGCUUCACGUA